GCUAAGAACUGGAUAGAAAUGGAGGCGAAGUCGGCCAAGGCCGCGAGAGUGUGCUAAAGUUUUACCUAGCGGUAACGCUUUAAUUUUGACACGCAGGUUCAGCAACCGGCUAGGAAUCGGUACUUAGAUUAGAUUGCGUGUUGACACUCGUUUUAAGUAGGAUGCGUAGGAUGAUCAAGUUAAGUGUUUUUUUAUGACCACUUAAAUUAACCUUAAGAAAUUUAAAUCGCUGCAAACUUUUUUAAGGUUCUUAGGAUAUUCUUGAAUCUUGAAUGAAAAAAGUAUAAUAGUUCACAUUUUCUAAAAAAAAAAAGCAAAAUAGAUUUCCUAAACUCUUUCUUGUGUAUUGCAAAAAAAUAUUUAACACAUCUCUAAAAGAUAAUUAAAAAAUUACCUCCAGCAAAUCAUUGACUAAUGAGCAAUUUAAGACUUUGAUUUUGCAAAGUCUUCAGUGAAUAGAAAGCAGACGAGUACUUGAAACUAAACCAUCAAAACUACCAACUUAAACUUAUCAACUUAUCAUAAAUCAAACUUACCAACAAACACAAUAUCUGGAAUUUAAAGACUAAAUUGCAGUGUUUCUCCACUUAUUCCAUGCAGCCCUUUUGGCAUUGAGACACCAUCGAGUCGACGUCAGCGAAAUCAUCAGAAUUUUUUCGGCAAAACCUGGCAGCACGUAUAUACCCCCACGCGAGCCGCCAGCAAUAAACGUUCUGGCAAUAUAGCAGCAGCAGCAACAACAAUGCCGUUUCGGGACCCGCCUUUAAUGCUGUUUCCGUGUACAGCCCGACCCAGGCCAAGUCCAGGCUAUUCCCGAAAGACGUCCCAACACGUUCGUCAAGGUGUAGAAGACCGCAGCAUAGCUGAGGGCGUAGUGCGUCGCAGUCUCCAACAUCCAGGUGUCCACCGCCCACCUAUAAACACUCAGUUAUAUCGCUUAUUUUAGUUUUCAAAUCGAAAACGUAUUAUUUCCCUUCUUUUUUAUUUCCUUCAACAUUCCAAAACGUCAUCCAGUUAUACCCAGCAGCUCUUUUAUUAUGAGGCAAUUCUUCCAAACCCUUUUCUCCAUUUUUUACGAAUCAUCAAUGCGACUUACCGCAAUUUCUUUUAAACGUAGGCGAUUUCGCCAUCCAAACUUUUAUGUUUUCUUCCUUUUUAAAAUUUCUUUUUCUUCCUUUCGGCCGCUAAAAAAAAUAAACUCAGUGUUUAUUCUUUUUAUAGUAUAACCUUUUGGUAUAAGCUAUCUUAUCCGCGUGCGUGACUGACAAAAAGGUUUGUUUAUUUUUGCCAAGAAAAGAAUAUGUUUUUUUUUA